AUUUGCUUCUGUUCUUUGCUGUAGAGU
rnacentral:piRNA from 1 species